ACCUUAUAGACCCGCAUCCUGUUCUUCUGGCCCUGUCCCGCUGCCUUGCUGGAGAAAGCCUAUGGGGCCAGAGAAUGGGACUGCCAUCCAUUCUGUGGGGCUGGGUGCUCAUGGCUACCAUGAGUACAGGUGCCACGGCGAGCUUGGUGGAGCAAAGGCCCAGGUGGGUCCUGGUAGCUCGUGGACAGGCUAAAACCCUGCACUGCAUCCUGAGGAAUUCCCAGUACCCCUGGAUGAGCUGGUACCAACAGGACCUCCAGGGGUCACUACAGGUGCUGGUCACUCUGCAGAGUCCUGGGGAUGAGGAGGUUGUAUCCCGUCCUGGAGCAGAUUACCGGGUCAAGCGGGUCAACAGCACAGAGCUGAGGCUGCAUGUGACCAAUGUGACCCAGGGCAGAAGCCUCUACUGCACCUGCAGUACACACAGUUUGGGAAAGACUUCAUCUCCCCGAACCCUGGUUUCUGUGCCUGUAAGUACAGACAGUAACUCGACCCAGCUCAGAGGCUUGCGAUUAGGAUCAAACGGCAUGACUCUCCACGGAAAGGUACCGCUGAGAACGCCCUCACCGGGAAAUCCUUGGUCCCAGGCCACCGAGAGGCUGUUCAAUACAGAGAUGGCCGGGCAGAGAGGCCUGGGCCACCUGCUCUUAAGAAAUGCUGAGGUCCUCUGCUAG